rnacentral:rRNA from 1 species
UGGGGAAUAUUGGACAAUGGGCGCAAGCCUGAUCCAGCAAUGCCGCGUGGGUGAAGAAGGUCUUCGGAUUGUAAAGCCCUUUCGACGGGGACGAUGAUGACGGUACCCGUAGAAGAAGCCCCGGCUAACUUCGUGCCAGCAGCCGCGGUAAUACGAAGGGGGCUAGCGUUGCUCGGAAUGACUGGGCGUAAAGGGCGCGUAGGCGGUUUGUACAGUCAGAUGUGAAAUUCCCGGGCUCAACCUGGGGGCUGCAUUUGAUACGUGCGGACUUGAGUUCGGAAGAGGGUCGUGGAAUUCCCAGUGUAGAGGUGAAAUUCGUAGAUAUUGGGAAGAACACCGGUGGCGAAGGCGGCGACCUGGUCCGAUACUGACGCUGAGGCGCGAAAGCGUGGGGAGCAAACAGGAUUAGAUACCCUGGUAGUCCACGCUGUAAACGAUGUGUGCUGGAUGUUGGGUGACAUAGUCACUCAGUGUCGAAGCUAACGCGCUAAGCACACCGCCUGGGGAGUACGGCCGCAAGGUUG